rnacentral:rRNA from 1 species
UACGUAGGUGGCAAGCGUUAAUCGGAAUUACUGGGCGUAAAGCGCGUGUAGGCGGUUAUGCAAGUCGGGUGUGAAAGCCCGGAGCUCAACUCCGGAAGUGCAUUCGAUACUGCGUAGCUAGAGUACUGGAGAGGAUGGUGGAACUCUCGGUGUAGAGGUGAAAUUCGUAGAUAUCGAGAAGAACACCGGUGGCGAAGGCGGCCAUCUGGACAGAUACUGACGCUGAGACGCGAAAGCGUGGGGAGCAAACAGG